CCCUCUAUUUCCUUUCAGAAACCCAAUUCUCUGUCGAAAUUUAUGCCAAAAGGAAAGUCAAGUUCAUAGAAUCGAGAGAUUUCUUUAUGAUACCAUAACUUUCACUUAACCCAAUUUCAAGUCCCCGCAAAGCGAUGACGUGGUAGAUGCCACUCCAUAUGCGUCCUCUAGUAACUGGGAAACUGGGCUUUGGUCAUGAAACUUUGCUUGUCGCUGGCUUGUUCCGCCUUAAAGUGUCACCGGGCAGAGCAAAAACAGUCGCGACAUAUGCAAAACCCGGCAACGAUAAGCGAACAAGCCACACCCACACCUAGUAGUGGCAGGUUCCCCUUAGGGAGGGGAAAGGAGCGGAACACACACACAGUCGGUGCCUGGCACGAUAUGUGCAACAUCUAGCAGCCAAGCGCGUAUGCAGAAAAUUUCCACAUUGCAGCAAAGGGCCUCUAAAGUUUUAUGCAUUCGUCCUUGCCGAAGGAGCAAGCAGAGCAAACUAACGACAAAAAAAAAGAAGAGAGAGAACAGAGAAAAGGAAACCGGGAGCAUUGUCGCCAAUUGUGUGAUCCGAGACAUGCGGGAAAUCGUGGGGGGAUGUGCAAGACUUUAUGCUCAUCGAUUGCCAGCUGCUCCGGGGGAUACUGGGUCCUAAGCUUUAACCUUCAAGUUCGAUAGUUUCAUUGGCACCUCCAGCUACGUUUGGUUUUCUUUUCUAGCUAAAAUAAAAUGGCAAAAGCCCUUUAUUA